rnacentral:lncRNA from 1 species
CCUGCUAGAUGCACCUUUCACUUUAGAUAAGAUCGAAAAUGCUAUUUUCAGCUUUCAAAUUGAUAAAAGUCCUGGUCCAGAUAGCUUCUCAAUGAUUUUCUUUUAGAAGUUCUGAGAUAUUGUUGCUCAGGAUAUAAUUACUUUAUUCCAACAAAUUUUUGACUCUAAUGUUGAUUUAGCUCGUCUGAAUUAUGCUUAUU